rnacentral:lncRNA from 1 species
UUCGAUUACGGAUUUGAUUUUGGAGUUUGUUCGAUUUUGGGGUUUCGUUUGGUUUUGAUUUAGGGAUUUGGUUUGAUUUUGAUUUAGGGAUUUAGUCUUGAUUUUGGAGUUCGCCGGAGACGGAGAAUUGGGGGAGACCGGUGGUGGUGGCUCCUGCUAUUGCUCGCCGGAAUCGAAGGAAUGAGGCUGAUCGGUGGAAAUUGAGAAGAAGAUAGGUUGAAGAAGAAAGUUUGGAUAGAGGACUAACUAACU